ensembl:lncRNA
GAGAUACACUCACUAAAGACUUUCCUAGGACAGAUCCCGCUCUGUUCGUGGACUCAAUAUUCCUGACAGUGUUCCUGUGAGUAUGGUGUACAGUCUGAACGUGCAUUGAUAGUUCCUGUUCCUUUUGGCUAACCAGUAUGAAGAGUCCAGUUGCCAAAACAAUCUGAUGUAUUGAAUGAAGUCUGCUUCUGCUCUAUGAACAGUCCUGAGGCAACAGUUAUUGCAGAGCAGGAGGCAUGCUGCUGGGUCUACUGCGAGCGGACUCCCACUGUUCAUCUUGCAAAUUUACCAAGAAGAUCAGCUGAAGCUGAGAGAAGAUCCUCUGACUUAGAAAAAGCCUCUGAAUAAAUUAUCCACUAUGAAAGAAUGAUGCGUAUUCUACCUAAGAGCCAGAAAAGUGAAGCAAUGAAGAAUAUUCUUAGAAUUGUUCCUAAGAACCUGGGCUACUUGGAGGAAAACGAAGCUUCUGGAACAUGAAUCACAGACUCCAUUUUAGGAACCUGCCUUUCUUUAGUAACUCUGUCUGAAAGUCAGGUAUCAAAUGGAAUUUAACUGCAGCACUAACUAGAGACGAGUGGUACGAAUGCCCCUCAGUCAGCACCUUUGAAGAGGCUGAGCAGUGCAGGUGUAGCACAUGGCAGCUCUGGCUGGGUUGGGAACUGCAUGGGCAGGGCACAAAUAGUGCAGAUGUGUGCAAAUCCAGAGCAGAACUAGUGUUUCCCAUUGUAGGUGCUCUGGUCAGCAAUUAAAUGGAUAAAAUUUUUCAAUUUUUAAUUGUUUCCGUAUGAUUAUAGUUUCUUCUAAUUCCCUGUCCCUUGAUGUACCUUUCCUGAAAGCAAGGACAAAAGCCAGUUCUCACAUAAACUUAGCACUCUUUCACCUGCACAGGCAGUGUAAAAAGGCUGUGAUAUCUCUAAUUCCUUUGUAUUGCCUACAGCAUACAUGUAGCUGGAUCCAAGCUUGUUUCUAUGUUGAUUUUUUUUUUAAUAUUUCUUUUCAGAAAUCAGUAAAUGUUUUGUGAAACACAAGCACUUGUGGACACUUGGUGAAAUUCCUAACAUUUUUAUAUAGGAAAUACUGCAGCCCACUGAUGAAUGGGAUUGUUGGUUUGUCCCUGAAAGGGAGCAGUUAAUUUGUGGACACAAAGCAAAACCAUUGAUUUUGAAAACCGUAUAUUAAGAUACUGAAAAGAAGGUCUCUAUUUUGGGCUGAUUGGAAGACUGAUUAUUACCAAAUGUAAUGUGAAUGACUUAAGCAUGUCACUGAAAUAGGUACUAUGAGAUCCUUUAUGAUAAAGUCUCAGGUAAAUUGGAAAUACCUCAAACAUGCAUCUUCGCUAAGCCAAACAAAUUUUAGAUGGAAAUGAAUGGAAAUUAACUCAGGGUGUAGACUUAAAUCCAGCCUGUAGGGACACAGUAAUUGUGCUUUUUAGAAAAUGGUCUCCUGCUCUUUGCAUUUUAACUGUCUAUAAUUACUUUUGUGAUUUGUUGGUUGUUGAGGAGCUUGACAAGCUGGGAAUUGGCAGAUUCAGUGUUGCCAUUAUUUACAGUGCUUUUGCCAAGUCAUUAAGUCAGCAAUAGGAAGCUUUCUACUGACAAAACUAAUUCAUUGGUAUGGCUGGACACUGCAUUUUCCGUUUAACUUAGUGCUACUACUUUAAAACUAUUUUGGCCAAAAUUUAGGUUGGCAGGAAUUGUCAGAACACCACCAAAAUUGGUAUGGGUAAGCUAGGGGCUUUUUCCUCUGUCCCUGUCUUUCUUUUUUUCAUUUUCAUUUUUUUCCUCACAAUGAGUUGUGCAAAGCUGAUUAAGAUGAGGACAUUCUGUAGACCUAGCUGACUUUUGUUGCUUUACUGAGACUAUUCUUACACCUCCAAAGGGAUGGGGGAAAGAAAGAUUGUCUUUCAAUGGCACAGAAAAUGCCAGGCAGCCCCAAGAGCUUUCAGGAGAUUUGCUCAAUUCAUAAAUAGAACAGUAUUGCCUGCUGUUCAUUUAGUUCUCUUUCCUUGAGUCUGCCAGUACUGUCCAGCUCUGCCAGUAGCUGCCUUUAGGCAAGGAUGAAAGGCUAAAUGUGAUAUGUUGUUGUGCUACUGACGUCAAGGAUUGCUGAAUAACCAUUGUGGGGCAUAGUCUAGAGAUGUGCUGGGUGAAGUGCUCAGGGAUACGGUGACACUGUGUGAUACAAACACUAAAUUGUUAUUAUUCUUUCUUAAAACAUCAGGGCAUGUUUCUGUGCUCAUUCUGCAGGUCUUAGUGUCCUUGUACAAUUAAGCUCUGACCUCAUUGGAAUAAUAUUGGAAUUGAAAAUGAGCAAAUGUCUAAAUCUUUACACUGAAAAUUUCCCUAUUUUAUGUAGCCCUAGAUGCAUUGAAAACAGUUGUUAAUGACGACUCUAGCACCAGCAGUCUUAAAGUGCUUUAUACUUGCUGCAGAGCAAGCAUGUAGCAACUUAUCCUAUCAUCACAGCAUAGAGAACGUGUAAGAAACCUAC